UGGGGAAUAUUGCACAAUGGGCGAAAGCCUGAUGCAGCAACGCCGCGUGAGCGAUGAAGGCCUUCGGGUCGUAAAGCUCUGUCCUCAAGGAAGAUAAUGACGGUACUUGAGGAGGAAGCCCCGGCUAACUACGUGCCAGCAGCCGCGGUAAUACGUAGGGGGCUAGCGUUAUCCGGAAUUACUGGGCGUAAAGGGUGCGUAGGUGGUUUCUUAAGUCAGAGGUGAAAGGCUACGGCUCAACCGUAGUAAGCCUUUGAAACUGGGAAACUUGAGUGCAGGAGAGGAGAGUGGAAUUCCUAGUGUAGCGGUGAAAUGCGUAGAUAUUAGGAGGAACACCAGUUGCGGAGGCGGCUCUCUGGACUGUAACUGACACUGAGGCACGAAAGCGUGGGGAGCAAAC
rnacentral:rRNA from 1 species